rnacentral:rRNA from 1 species
CCUACGGGACGCAGCAGUCGGGAAUAUUGCGCAAUGGAGGAAACUCUGACGCAGUGACGCCGCGUGCAGGAAGAAGGUUUUCGGAUUGUAAACUGCUUUAGACAGGGAAGAAAGAAAUGACGGUACCUGUAGAAUAAGCUCCGGCUAACUACGUGCCAGCAGCCGCGGUAAUACGUAGGGAGCAAGCGUUAUCCGGAUUUAUUGGGUGUAAAGGGUGCGUAGACGGGUAUACAAGCCAGAAGUGAAAUCUGGGGGCUUAACCCCCAAACUGCUUUUGGAACUGCGUGUCUUGAGUGAUGGAGAGG